AACGAACGCUGGCGGAAGGGAGAACACAGGCAAGUCGAACGAUGCCUUCGGGCAUAGUGGCGCACGGGUGCGUAACGCGUGGGAAUCUGCCUUUCGGUUCGGAAUAACUCAGGGAAACUUGAGCUAAUACCGGAUAACGUCGCAAGACCAAAGAUUUAUCACCGAAAGAUGAGCCCGCGUAGGAUUAGCUAGUUGGUGAGGUAAAGGCUCACCAAGGCGACGAUCCUUAGCUGGUCUGAGAGGAUGAUCAGCCACACUGGGACUGAGACACGGCCCAGACUCCUACGGGAGGCAGCAGUGGGGAAUAUUGGACAAUGGGCGAAAGCCUGAUCCAGCAAUGCCGCGUGAGUGAUGAAGGCCUUAGGGUUGUAAAGCUCUUUUACCCGGGAAGAUAAUGACGGUACCGGGAGAAUAAGCCCCGGCUAACUCCGUG
rnacentral:rRNA from 1 species